rnacentral:rRNA from 1 species
AACGAACGCUGGCGGCAGGCUUAACACACGCAAGUCGAACGCUCCGCAAGGAGAGUGGCAGACGGGUGAGUAACACGUGGGAACGUACCCUUUACUACGGAACAACUCCGGGAAACUGGAGCUAAUACCGUAUGUGCCCUUUGGGGGAAAGAUUUAUCGGUAAAGGAUCGGCCCGCGUUGGAUUAGCUAGUUGGUGGGGUAAAGGCCUACCAAGGCGACGAUCAAUAGCUGGUCUGAGAGGAUGAUCAGCCACAUUGGGACUGAGACACGGCCCAAACUCCUACGGGAGGCAGCAGUGGGGAAUAUUGGACAAUGGGCGCAAGCCUAAUCCAGCCAUGCCGCGUGUGUGAUGAAGGCCUUAGGGUUGUAAAGCACUUUCACCGGAGAAGAUAAUGACGGUAUCCGGAGAAGAAGCCCCGGCUAACUUCGUGCCAGCAGCCGCAGUAA